CAGUAAUGGCGUUCAGAUAAAACAUAGUCCUCCACCUUUGACAACAAAGAAUGGACGGGCCUCAUGGAAGGAUCUUCAUCAGAGCUGACUGCUGGGUACCUGCCAAGCCUGCUUUGACUCUUGACCCCAGCAAGGUUUAGGUCUGGCUCUAAGCAAAAUCAUGGUGGGGAAAUGAUAGUUCAGCACUAGGGCCCUCACUUCUGGAACUUCCCUUUUCUUUCCCUGAUACUUCAUCCCCCUGUC
rnacentral:lncRNA from 1 species